CCUACGGGAGGCUGCAGUGGGGAAUAUUGGACAAUGGGCGAAAGCCUGAUCCAGCAAUGCCGCGUGUGUGAAGAAGGCCUUCGGGUUGUAAAGCACUUUCAGUGGGGAAGAAAGCCUUGGGGCUAAUACCCUCGAGGAAGGACAUCACCCACAGAAGAAGCACCGGCUAACUACGUGCCAGCAGCCGCGGUAAUACGGAGGGUGCGAGCGUUAAUCGGAAUUACUGGGCGUAAAGCGCGCGUAGGCGGUCUGAUAAGCCGGUUGUGAAAGCCCCGGGCUCAACCUGGGAACGGCAUCCGGAACUGUCAGGCUAGAGUGCAGGAGAGGAAGGUAGAAUUCCCGGUGUAGCGGUGAAAUGCGUAGAGAUCGGGAGGAAUACCAGUGGCGAAGGCGGCCUUCUGGACUGACACUGACGCUGAGGUGCGAAAGCGUGGGUAGCAAACAGGAUUAGAUACCCGAGUAGUC
rnacentral:rRNA from 1 species